rnacentral:rRNA from 1 species
ACGGGUGAGUAACGCGUGGAUAUCUGCCUUUUGGUUCGGAAUAACCCCGGGAAACUGGGGCUAAUACCGGAUGGUUCCUUCGGGAUAAAGAUUUAUCGCCAAAAGAUGAGUCCGCGUACGAUUAGCUAGUUGGUGAGGUAAUGGCUCACCAAGGCGACGAUCGUUAGCUGGUCUGAGAGGACGAUCAGCCACACUGGGACUGAGACACGGCCCAGACUCCUACGGGAGGCAGCAGUGGGGAAUAUUGGACAAUGGGGGCAACCCUGAUCCAGCCAUGCCGCGUGAGUGAUGAAGGCCUUCGGGUUGUAAAGCUCUUUUGGCGGGGACGAUGAUGACGGUACCCGCAGAAUAAGCCCCGGCUAACUUCGUGCCAGCAGCCGCGGUAAGACGAAGGGGGCUAGCGUUGUUCGGAAUUACUGGGCGUAAAGCGAGUGUAGGUGGUUGUCCAAGUUGGAUGUGAAAGCCUUGAGCUCAACUCAAGAAAUGCAUUCAGGACUGGGUGACUAGAGGACCGGAGAGGAUAGUGGAAUUCCCAGUGUAGUGGUGAAAUACGUAGA